rnacentral:misc_RNA from 1 species
GAAAUGCGAUAAGUAAUGUGAAUUGCAGAAUUCAGUGAAUCAUCGAAUCUUUGAACGCACCUUGCGCUCCUUGGUAUUCCGAGGAGCAUGCCUGUUUGAGUGUCAUGAAAACCCUCAACCCUAGAUUGGUUAAUACCUUUCUUUGGUUUGGAUUUGGAAGUUUGCCGAUGAUAAGUCGGCUCGUCUUAAAAGUAAUAGCUGGAUCUGUCUCGCGACAUGGUUUGACUUGGCGUAAUAAGUAUUUCGCUAAGGACAUCUUCGGAUGGCCGCGUUGCAGGACUAAAGACCGCUUUCCAAUCCAUUGAUCUUCGGAUUAAUACUCUUGACAUCUGGCCUCAAAUCAGGUAGGACUACCCGCUGAACUUAAGC